rnacentral:rRNA from 1 species
GGGGCUAGCGUUGUUCGGAAUUACUGGGCGUAAAGCGUACGUAGGCGGCUUUGUAAGUUAGAGGUGAAAGCCCGGAGCUCAACUCCGGAAUUGCCUUUAAGACUGCAUCGCUUGAAUCGUGGAGAGGUUAGUGGAAUUCCGAGUGUAGAGGUGAAAUUCGUAGAUAUUCGGAAGAACACCAGUGGCGAAGGCGACUAACUGGACACGUAUUGACGCUGAGGUACGAAAGCGUGGGGAGCAAACAGG